CAGCACUAUCUCUCUCUUUUCUCUCUCAAGGCAGCCGAACAACCUCAAGGAAGAAGAAGGAACCAAAACUCCAUCUCAUCUCACUCAAUCUUGCAUCUUUUCACCUCAAAUUCACCGUACAAACUUAAAACAACUUGGAGAUCAUCUUGGACUAGGAAGAGGGCUUCAUUCUCAUGGUUUUCUUGGAGCUCUAGUGACCGAAAUUUUCUGGUUUAUCAUCAUCUAGGAGGCAUUCAAGGAGACCUUCAAGAGGAUCUCAUAGGGGACGCCUAAAAUACUUGAUUGUGCGCCACUCUUGUUUUGACUAGGAACUGGAAUGAAAGAUGUUAAGGAAAGGCCGACUUGAGGCACUUUUGUAUUAGUGUUUUGAUUGUAAUCGACUAGAGACUUUUGGAUGUUGUAUAUUUUGGGGAAAGUAAUUGUAAGUUUGAAAUUGUGAUGUAAGAUUGAAUAUUUAUGUACGGAAAUGACUUCGUACC